ACCCAUCAAUAACUGAAAAAUAUAAAUAAACAAAAUAAGCCUACACCAAAAACUUAAACCAUUCUUUUACCUAAGUAUGGGAGACAGAAAAGGUCACAUAAAGCAAUAGAGAUAGUACCGCAAGGGAAAGCUGAAAGAGAGGUGAAACAGCCCAUAUAAGCACAAAAAAGCAAAGAUUAAACCCUGUACCUUUUGCAUCAUGAUUUAGCCAGUACACCCAAGCAAAGAGACCUUUAGUUUGAAACCCCGAAACCAGGUGAGCUACCCCGAGACAGCCUAUUGAGGGCCAACCCGUCUCUGUGGCAAAAGAGUGGGAAGAGCUCCGGGUAGAAGUGACAGACCUACCGAACCUGGUGAUAGCUGGUUGCCUAGGAAAUGAAUAGAAGUUCAGCCUCAUUCCCCCUCAAAUCAAAACGCAAACAAGACACCAAGAGAUACAUAUGAGAGUUAGUUAAAGGGGGUACAGCCCCUUUAACAAAGGACACAACCUUUCCAGGAGGAUAAAGAUCAUAAUAUAUAAAAUAUACCGUUUCAGUGGGCCUAAAAGCAGCCACCUAAACAGAAAGCGUUAAAGCUCAGACGGAAAGAAGUUUAUUAUCCUGAUAAAUAAUCUUACUCCCCUAAUUACUACUAGGCCAACCCAUGCCCACAUGGGAGGGACUAUGCUAAAAUGAGUAACAAGAAGGCCCGCCCUUCUCCAAGCACAAGUGUAAGCAAAAUCGGACCCGCCAUUGGCAAUUAACGAACUCAACCCCAGAGAGCAAUGUGGACUACAAAAAGACCAAGAAGAAUCCACAAUCAACCCAUCGUUACCCCCACACUGGAGUGCAUUAAAGGAAAGACUAAAAGAAAGGGAAGGAACUCGGCAAACACAAGCCUCGCCUGUUUACCAAAAACAUCGCCUCCUGCAACACAGCCAAGUAUAGGAGGUCCAGCCUGCCCAGUGACGAUAAGUUCAACGGCCGCGGUAUCCUGACCGUGCGAAGGUAGCGCAAUCACUUGUCUUUUAAAUAGAGACCUGUAUGAAUGGCCAAACGAGGGCUUAACUGUCUCCCCUUUCAAGUCAGUGAAAUUGAUCUACCCGUGCAGAAGCGG
rnacentral:rRNA from 1 species